AUUAGUUUGAUCAUGGCUCAGAUUGAACGCUGGCGGCAGGCCUAACACAUGCAAGUCGAGCGGUAGAGAGAAGCUUGCUUCUCUUGAGAGCGGACGGGUGAGUAAUGCCUAGGAAUCUGCCUGGUAGUGGGGGAUAACGUUCGGAAACGGACGCUAAUACCGCAUACGUCCUACGGGAGAAAGCAGGGGACCUUCGGGCCUUGCGCUAUCAGAUGAGCCUAGGUCGGAUUAGCUAGUUGGUGAGGUAAUGGCUCACCAAGGCGACGAUCCGUAACUGGUCUGAGAGGAUGAUCAGUCACACUGGAACUGAGACACGGUCCAGACUCCUACGGGAGGCAGCAGUGGGGAAUAUUGGACAAUGGGCGAAAGCCUGAUCCAGCCAUGCCGCGUGUGUGAAGAAGGUCUUCGGAUUGUAGCACUUUAAGUUGGGAGGAAGGGCAGUUACCUAAUACGUGA
rnacentral:rRNA from 1 species